AGUGAACGCUGGCGGUAGGCCUAACACAUGCAAGUCGAACGGCAGCACAGUAAGAGCUUGCUCUUACGGGUGGCGAGUGGCGGACGGGUGAGGAAUACAUCGGAAUCUACUUUUUCGUGGGGGAUAACGUAGGGACACUUACGCUAAUACCGCAUACGACCUACGGGUGAAAGCAGGGGAUCUUCCGACAUUGCGCGAUCGAAUGAGCCCAUGUCGGAUUAGCUAGUUGGAGGGGUAAAGGCCCACCAAGGCGACGAUCCGUAGCUGGUCUGAGAGGAUGAUCAGCCACACUGGAACUGAGACACGGUCCAGACUCCUACGGGAGGCAGCAGUGGGGAAUAUUGGACAAUGGGCGCAAGCCUGAUCCAGCCAUGCCGCGUGGGUGAAGAAGGCCUUCGGGUUGUAAAGCCCUUUUGUUGGGAAAGAAAAGCAGCAGGUUAAUACCCCGCUGUUCUGACGGUACCCAAAGAAUAAGCACCGGCUAACUUCGUG
rnacentral:rRNA from 1 species